rnacentral:rRNA from 1 species
UACGAAGGGGGCUAGCGUUGUUUCGGAAUCACUGGGCGUAAAGCGCACGUAGGCGGAUCUUUAAGUCAGGGGGUGAAAUCCCGAGGCUCAACCUCGGAACUGCCUUUGAUACUGGGGGAUCUCGAGUCCGGGAGAGGUGAGUGGAACUGCGAGUGUAGAGGUGAAAUUCGUAGAUAUUCGCAAGAACACCAGUGGCGAAGGCGGCUCACUGGCCCCGGAACUGACGCUGAGGUGCGAAAAGCGUGGGGGAGCAAAACAGG